rnacentral:lncRNA from 1 species
CCGUUUUUCGCUAAGUCCUGAAGCCAGUGUUCCUCCAAACUUUGGAGCUUUGAAUCUCCAAAUCCACCGCGUUUUUGAACUCCGUCAAAUUAUAAAAGUUGGAUCUUGGUCUGUGUACUACAACUCUUGUAAAGGAAGUCAACGUGGCGCAGUUUAAAAAUCGGGAGAUCAAGAGGCUGGAAGAUGGGCCCGGCAAAGGAUCUCGCGGAUCCGUCGGCCAGACAGCGCCAGAGCGCGCGUGCGCCGCGCUCAGAGCACCGCUACCGCGUGGCGUGACCUCACCGGUGAGCGUCGCCUCGCC